ACCGAUAAAAAAAUAAAAAAAAUAAAAUAAAAUAAAAAAAAACAAAAAGGGGGAGUAAGCCAAGGCCUGCCUCCAAAGGCGCGGUUAUCUAUGGCAUUAUUCACAUACAAUUUUUUAAACUUAAACAGUGAAAAUUGCUCCCCAGCUAUGGCACAUUGUACCCCAUCCCCCAAAAAAUAAAGGAUGGGUUAGAUGGAAAGAUGUCCUGACGGGACAAUGGAUGGGCCCGGAUCCGGUGGUUAGCUGGAACCGAGGCGCGGUUUGUGUCUUUCCGCAGGGACCGGGACGAGAACCACUGUGGGUCCCAGAGAGGUUGACGCGACAAGUCCCUCGACUAAAGAUCAGGCCUGUUCCACCAGAGGCCAACCGCAGACCCAACAACAAGAUGAGCCCUAAAAAAACUACAGGACAAUCCCUUUUUGGGGGCCUGGAACGGCUUGCUCCCCUAUGUGCUACCCUUGCAUACGCAUGGCUCGCUCGCAUGGCCUACGACCGCGUUUAAAAGUGACAGGCUUCCCACAUUCUCCUCCCUAGACAACAACAUGUAGCAGGGUGGGUGAGUCAAUGACGGGUAAGAGCGUGCCUCCCCAGCACGACUCAACCUAAGCCAGGCCCUACCCCAUGGCGCAUGAAAGCCGCUGGAUCGCUAGAUUCCGCCCCGAAUCUAGAUGCCUCUCCAAAGGGGAUCAUAAGGAGAGACGUGAGCGUAUGCCUAUGUGCACCCAGGUUCCGUCUGACCUAUCCCUGGCCCUGGAAAAAAGGACGAGGGCCUCAAGGCCUUGGUGGACCCUGGGACGGCCGCCCGGGUUCCAACCCAAAGGCCUGCGGUGGGCCUCAGAUACAGGGCGUAGGCCUCUACGCUCGAUCCAGGACGGGCUGCAAUGCGCUCGUUCUUGUAAAAUAAAAUAGGGGGAGAUGUUGGGAGCCGUGGCCGAGCCCGGUCGCCUUACUUGGCGGACGUGAGGCCUGUAAGAAAGAGCAAAGCCUGAGCUAGAUUACCCCUCCCAUCGAGUGUGCUAAGAUGGCGCUUAUCUCCUGCUUCCUGCUUGGUAAACAACCCGCUCUGUAAGAUAGUCUGCCUAGCAACAACUGAUGUUAGCCAAUCAGCCUGCAUCGCGCGCUUUGAACUGAUUGGCCACUGUAACCCUAUAAAAGUGAGUGCCUCUCCCGCCAUGAGAGAAGAAGCACGGAAGGAGCCGCGGAGAGCAGACCGGUAGAGGCUUCGGCCGGGAAGAAUCCUGGGGCAGACUGUACGGAGAGGGAAAAUAAAGAAAGCCCAGCCACUGCCA